rnacentral:tmRNA from 1 species
GGGACUGUUAGGUUUCUACAUGUUAAUAUAUUUUUUGAAGUACAGUAUAGGUUAAUUUUUAAUGAACCUGAAAAUACACAAUUAAGUGCAAAAAAUCAAAUAGUUCCUUUAUCUCGAGUUUUAGUACAAGUUUAGUGGGUAUAUUAUAUUAAUCCAUAUUAGAUUUCUAAACUUCUUGAGUAUCAGUUAAGAGAAUAAUUACAUAUGUUUUCUGAUAAUUAAUUUAUAUGUUGCUCCUAAAUACUUCUAAAAAAGUAAGCAAGUUGAAAUAUCUUGUUCAUUUAGGUAAAGUUGAGUAUUAAUAGUAAAGAUAUCUUUUUCUGUAUCUAGCAGUAUCUAGAUACCUUCUUAAAUGUUUUUAUUAACAUGGACGUGGGUUCAACUCCCACCAGUUCCA